CUCUCUCUCACUUCCCACCCUCUCUCGACCGAAACCCUAAGUGGGAGGAGGGUGGCGGCGUCUCUUCGUCGCCCGUCGCUCGGAGCUCCGGUCGGCGCCUCCCUUGCGUCGCCGGAGAUUCUGAUGUCCUCCUUCACAAACCCUUGGUCUCAAUUUCUCCUUAAACAAAAAUCCCCAAAUUUCAAAACCCUAUGCUUUGAAGAAGAAGGCGGCGGAGCACUCCACCGUCGUCUCUGCUCCAUUUUCUCGGCGAUUUAGCGCCGUCGCCGACGUCUCCGGCUGUGGUAGACGCGGCUUGACCCGCCUUGAAGACCAGCUCCGCCACCGCUUCAUUCUUGACUAGUGGAGCCGCCGAUAGGGAGGAGGCAUCGCCCUUCUCUUACGCCGACUGUCACCGACGCGAAGUCAACCGCCGACGCUCUGCUGCCGGCGCCACCGGCGACUCGUGCCGCCGCCUUCCGUCGGCGUCACGGAGAAACUCUCCGCCUCCCGUCGCACCAUCGCCGGACAAUCUCUCUAAAAGCUAAGUUCCAUUACCCCUUUCAUUUCUUAGCCCUUUUGAUUAAACUGAGGCAGUAGCUAUGUGCGUUUAAAACUUUGAUUUUGGAGUGUAACUCACUGGAAUGAGCUUGAGAAGAUUAACUUGCUUAUGUUAAGUGUUGUUUUUGAACGGUUAUAGUUUGCUACUGCAAUUUUAGCAUGAGGGCAGCCUAUUGUGCUCUUGUUCCAUUUAUGAGUUAAAGCUUUUCAAAGGCUACUACUGCUAUGAGAUUUCUAAAGCUCUGAUUCUAUGUUCUUGAGCCAUCAUGGAGUUCUAAACAAGGGCAGAGGGUGUGCUUGUGUUAUAUUGAUUGUGGUUCUUAAUUUGUGGUGCCUCUAUAUGAUGACAUGAGAAUUUGAUUGGGAGAAAAGGAUGGAGGUGUAUUACCUCUGAAAUUCGAAGGAGUGGCUGACUUGCUGCUGCUCACUACUUGCUCUACCCUCUAACUCUCUGUUUUUGCUGAAUUUUGAAGUGUGUGUGAAAGGAGUUGGUGUGUGGUGUGGAGGGGCCUUUAUAGGCCGAGCUUUGGUGUACUCUUGAGCCUUAAAUGGCUGCUGUACCAUUUGUUGCUAUGUGGCAGAAAAUCUCACCUUUAGUGAUCCUUAUGCAGCACUCUUUAACUGAGAAUUGGUGGUAUUCUAAGGACAUAAGGACUAUGCAUUCAUGUUAUUUGUUGUCUUUCUUUUCUUUUUGCAGGGGCUUGUUGGGGGAUCAAUAGCUGCAGCUGCCCUUGCCUCUUUUGGCAAGGUAUUUUGGUCUAUAUUUGAAAGGUGCUCAACAGAGGUGAUGGCUCGUACUUGGUUCGUAUUAAACCAGAAGGGCCGAGAAAGGGCUUGGGCCUGAGGAGGAAGUCCAAAAGUGGAAGCUGCACAAAAAAAAGUCCCUCUUCCAAGCUCUAGGCCCAUACUUGUAUAAUUUGUACUAGCAUUCAAAUUUUCUUUUUCUUAAACUCAUAACUCACAUGUAUUUAAUUAUGUAAGCUAAAGUGUAAUUUGGAAAGUAGUUGCACUUUCUUAGCUAGAAAAUGAACUCUUCAUAUUCUUCCUUGUUAGAUAGGUAUCGUAAAUGAAAUGGAAAAGCUUUGGUUCA